CAUUUUUUAUAUACACUCUAAUAAUUCAAUAGUUGGGGUCAGAAUAAAAUCACAAAGAACGAAAACGUCCAAGCUUUGGUAUCGAAUAUCACUUCGACCUUCAAGCUGACAGGAAUCAUCUUAAAAAACACAGCACGACACAAAUGUAUACACAACUCGCGAUUCACGUGUGCGAGCUGUAACGAGAAACAGAGAUUGGCACGCGCGACAUAACCUAUUCAAGAAAUCACCGUGUUUCUUUCGCAAAGCGGAGAAAAACGAUUGCGCUUUGAGCCGGCUCUCACUUCCGUAGCAGUGCCCGACGAAGAUUCCAGGGGCGACUAACGAGUAGUCAACAGGCACUUAGUCGCCGCCGCCACGAAUUACGGAGAAGUAAGAGUGCGCGCACACACAAACGGCUGAGGAAGCACACGCACGGUGGAGACGCACUCGCGAAAGCGAACAAACGAACGUGAAACGAGAACUAGAUAGGAAAGUUUCGAGGUGAGACAAAGUCGAUCUCGCACAUCGAUUGGAAAUCACGCGUAACACAUUGAUCAUAGUAGUACAUCUACCCCAAUCACGUCUUGAUUCUCUGCAUAUGGAAAAAUGAAAGAGAGGAAACAAUGGGAAGAAAGAUGAAGAGGAUACGAUAUUAGUUUCUCACUGCGAAACAAGGAUAAAACAUAUAUGCGUGACGUUCUUAUCUUAGGUUUGAGUGAGCAAAACAAUAAACAGAGGGGAAAAAUAGUGAAAAAGAAAUAGGAAAAAGAGUUAAGAGAGUGAAGAAUAAAAAAAAGAAAAAGAAAGAGAAAUGUUACCACGCUUCUUCGCGUCCUACUACCUUCGACGCGAUCGCUACACUGAUACUGAACCGAGUUCGCCCCGUGGCCCAAGUUCUUGGAGGAAAACAACGCGCUCUCGUGAUCGGCGUAGUGUACGUGAGGGUGGUCGAAUGUCUACAUGUGUACCGGGACGAAAUUCAAAACCUGUUACGUGACGCCCAGAAGAUAAUACUGGUGUCCGAGCCAAACUUGUCCAUUUUCGAUUUGAAAUUCUUAUCGUCUACCUUCGAUUGGAUUUCUUUUUCAAAAAAUCAUUCUCAGUUUGUUUUUUUACCUAUUAUAAUUUUCAAUCGAUUAGAUAAAUGGAAAAAUUAAUUUCUCAUUGUUUUGAUUCUGCCACGAAAAAGCAAUUCUAUUCAAUGUUCAUAUUAUUAUUCCGUUUUAAAACAUGACCAUUUUAAGAAUGCAAAUAUAUUUCAAAAUGUUUAUCGUCUUCUCAAUAAAACUAGUGCGGAAUAUUAUAAACAUAAUGUAACAAAUAAUCGUUGUUUAAUAUAUUUAUUUUAAUUAUAUUUAAUCUUAAUCAAUUUAAUUAAACUAUAAUCAACUACGUUUUUUAUUAAAAAGAAGUGAGAAACUUUGAAACGAUCAGAUAUAUACAUUAUUAUUUAAAAUUACUCUCAAGAUAAAUAUCUUCUAGGAUAAUGUAUCUAAUUAUAUAUAGAUAAAUCUAUCGAACUUGUGAUAUAAAAUACAAAAUUAAAAAAUUUCAGAAAAAAUAUUUAUUACAGAGAAACUUCUGACGAUUCCAAUUAAUCAUAUGUACAAUAUAAAUAUAUAAUAUCUUCACACUUAGAUCAAUGAAUUUGUGACACUGAUACACGAAUCAUGUAUCGUCAAGAUUAACUUGCUACCAUCAAAGUAGAAAUGAGUCAUCAUGCAUGAGUAAUAUGAUAAAACUAGGUUUCUAAUUGUUAUAUAGUUAUACUAAUAUAAAAUACACGCGUAUGGGCAUAUAAAAACAAAAGAAAAGAAAUAUAUUAAUUAGUUACAUAUUUUAAUUCUUCGUUUAUAUUUGUAUGAAAUUAAAUAAAUUAGUAAAUAAUUUAUAAAUAGAGAAAAUUUGCAUAAUUAACACCAGGAAUAGAUAACAUCGUUAUCGAUGAACGUAUUUAAUACUAUUUCACUUAAAUUGCUUGCUUCUUCCAAGAAAAUGAAUACAAUACGAGAAAGGAAAGAGAAAAAAAAAAAAAAAAAAAAAAAAAAAAAAUAAAAAAAAAAUGACUUGUAGAAAAUAAAGUCUAAGAAACUUCUUGGCAUCUCUUUGGCUUGUUUACGUCGAUAUCAACGGCGUGUCGCGUUACUAGUCAUUCGAUAUUGUCAAAACAGGAGACUUCUUCAGAAAAGACAACCAAGGGAUGAAGUUACCCCAAUAGUGAUCGAAAAAGCCUACCAAAAAUACUGUUCUAAUUCAAUUAGAGUAGGGUGCACGCGAUGCGCAAAGGAAAGCACAUAUAUUCAAGGGAAUUACAUUUUCGAAAGUAAUUAAAUUAACGUCGAAAAUGUAAACAUUGACAAAAAACUACAUAAUACAGCAAGGUUUUAAUUUUGCUUUAACGACUAACAGCUUGAACAAACUUUACGAGCAAUUCUUUAUUUUACAUUCGUUUUGAUUGGUAACGCUUGCAGUUAUAACGAUUUUAUUUUCAUUAAUAAAAACAAAUGUAAAAAAAAAAAAAAAAAGGAAGAGAAAGAAAGA